UACGAAGGGGGCUAGCGUUGUUCGGAAUUAUUGGGCGUAAAGGGCGCGUAGGCGGCUUUGCAAGUGACGGGUGAAAUCCCUCGGCUUAACCGAGGAACUGCCUGUCAAACUGCAUGGCUUGAGACCGGGAGAGGUGAGUGGAAUUCCCAGUGUAGCGGUGAAAUGCGUAGAUAUUGGGAGGAACACCAGUGGCGAAGGCGGCUCACUGGACCGGUACUGACGCUGAUGCGCGAAAGCGUGGGGAGCAAACAGG
rnacentral:rRNA from 1 species